rnacentral:rRNA from 1 species
UACGAAGGGGGCUAGCGUUGUUCGGAAUCACUGGGCGUAAAGCGCACGUAGGCGGAUUUUUAAGUCAGGGGUGAAAUCCCGGGGCUCAACCUCGGAACUGCCUUUGAUACUGGAGAUCUUGAGUCCGGAAGAGGUAAGUGGAACUGCGAGUGUAGAGGUGAAAUUCGUAGAUAUUCGCAAGAACACCAGUGGCGAAGGCGGCUUACUGGUCCGGAACUGACACUGAGGUGCGAAAGCGUGGGGAGCAAACAGG